ACGCUUCAAAUAUGGGAACUAUUUAUUUUAUUUGGCAAUAUAUAUUUUUCAUUUAUGUAUAUAUUUUUCAAAUAAGGUUUUAGAAACUUGGCCAACAUAUUCACUUGAAUCACUAGUUUGUGAUGUACAGCAGAAAGGUAAAGUUACUGCUUUUGAAUAACUACAGUUGAUCUAUUGACUGAUAAAACUAUUUGCCAAUACUACCACCAGUUACAUCAUACUCUAAGUAAAUGUGAUUUAUCUAUACAGCACUGGUUUAUUUAAAAAUGUGAUACUUUGUGGUUUGUUUUUCUUUCAGGUGGAGAAAACAGUAUUGUGGGAGCAUAUUUGUUUAAAGUACAUCACUGACAGAAAGUUACCAAGGCUUAAGGAGAGACUAUGGAUACAGUUGAAGAUCAUCCCUGUGACUUUUCAUUUGAGGACUGAGAAGGCUCCUCAGCCACUAAGCCCAAGUUCUGACUUGUCAUUUAAUGAAUAAAUAAAGGUCACCUCAA